rnacentral:rRNA from 1 species
AAACGCUUGAAGUCAGUCGUGUCCUUCAGGGAUCAAGUUGCCUCUGGGUGACCGUAUUUUUCUGAUGACAGGUCAGCAUCAAUUUUGACCGUUGGAAAAAGGCCUUGGUAAUGUGGCACCUCCGGGUGUGUUAUAGACCUCAGCUGGAUACAAUGGUUGGGAUUGAGGAACUCAGUG